CUUUUUGUGUCUCCAGAAUGUGUGUACACCAGUCAAGUGUUUUUUUUUUUUUUUAUAAACACAAUGAACACAAACCUUCGACAUCUCAGCAUGUCACUGCAAUUACUGUCCUCACAAAACGUGGGCCACAAAUCCACCACCCUGAGAUUAAGAGUCUCAUGUCACAUGGGCCUCAUGCAAAACACACGCCAGCUACUGACUGCUGGUUUAGAGCCAAACGUGGUUUAUCCAAACCACCAAAGGAGAUGUUAAUGAAAGAUCUCUGUUGUGCAGUUGGUUAGUGUGUUCUGCUGUUAGCCAGAAUGUUGCUCCUGUUAAAAAGCUCAGGGUUACAAAGGACAGGAACUGCUGCUGUGAUGUUCGAGUGGUGAAGGCGUUAGACUCAAAAUCUAAUGAAGUUUCUGCUCACAGCAUUUCAUCAGUGUGUGAUAGUGAUUUAUUGUUAAGUCUUUACUGUGUGAAGUGAACGAUGUACAGAAGUGUUUCAUGCAUAGAAGAAACGUUGGAAACAAACAUAAUCUGGUUUACUGGAGGUGAAAGUUGUUUUGCUGGGACGAGGAGGAAGAACAUUAAAACUCACAUUAUCUCUUUAGGAAACAUGAUUCAUCUUGUGCUUUCUACAAGAUCAAAAAGGUUCAGAAAAAUCUUUUGAAACAAAAACAUGUUUCAAAUGUCUCAGACAUGUCUAAAACGUCUCAAAAGGCUUUAGGAGACGAUGAGUGGACGUCUCGUCUGUGGCGGUAGAGGAUGAUGAGUGGACGUCUCGUCUGUGGCGGUAGAGGACGAUGAGUGGACGUCUCGUCUGUGGCGGUAGAGGAUGAUGAGUGGACGUCUCGUCUGUGGCGGUAGAGGAUGAUGAGUGGACGUCUCGUCUGUGGUGGUUUGUCAGCACUGGGGUUUGGCUCUGAAGCUGGAAACACACCUGCUCCCGUCAGAAGAAAUAGUUUGAUCUGCUUCAUAAGAGUGAGAAAUGUCCAAUGCAGGUCCACGGCCAGUCAAAACUUUUCAGAAACGUCUUUGUGGAUUCCACCCUCCUAAAGUGUUCAUUUCAGACUUUCAGGUCGUAAGUGUUCCACCUGCUGCAAGUGUUCCACCUGC